UUAAGCGAAUAAGGGCGUACGGUGGAUGCCUAGGCACUUGAAACUGAAGAAGGACGCGACAAACGGCGAAACGCGACGGGGAGUGGUACGUACACGAAGAUCCGUCGAUAUCCGAAUGGGGAAACCCGUCAUACGUAAUAGUAUGGCAUCCAUGAGUGAAUAAAUAGCUCAUGAGAGAGGUACCCGGAGAACUGAAACAUCUAAGUACCCGGAGGAAAAGAAAACAAAAGUGAUUCCCAGAGUAGCGGCGAGCGAAAGGGGAGGAGCCCAAACCAACCUUAGGGUUGGGGUUGUAGGACCAUGAUAUGGCAAGAAUUUGGCUAAUAGAACGAUAUUGAAAGAUCGACCGCAGAGGGUGCAAGUCCCGUAUAUGAAAGCGAGAGGAAGCCUAAUGGUAUCCUGAGUACGGCGAGACACGAGAAAUCUUGUCGGAAGCAGGCGGGACCAUCCGUCAAGGCUAAAUAUACCCAAGUGACCGAUAGUGAACCAGUACCGUGAGGGAAAGGUGAAAAGAACCGCGGGAGCGGAGUGAAAUAGAACCUGAAACCGUAUGCUUACAAGAAGUCAGAGCUCGUUAAAGAGUGAUGGCGUGCCUUUUGUAGAAUGAACCGGCGAGUUAUGUUAUCGUGCGAGGUUAAGUAGAAGAUACGGAGCCGAAGCGAAAGCGAGUCUGAAGAGGGCGAGAGUACGAUGAGAUAGACCCGAAGCCGUAGUGAUCUAGCCAUGACCAGGUUGAAGGUUGGGUGAAACCAACUGGAGGACCGAACCGACCCCCGUUGAAAAGUUGGCGGAUGAGUUGUGGCUAGCGGAGAAAUUCCAAUCGAACACGGAGAUAGCUGGUUCUCCCCGAAAUAGCUUUAGGGCUAGCGUCGAGGCAGAGUCGCAUGGAGGUAGAGCACUGAAUGUACGAUGGCCCCAUCCCGGGGUACUGAGUAUAAUCAAACUCCGAAUGCCAUGAUAAUAUACUCGGCAGUCAGACUGUGGGUGAUAAGGUCCAUGGUCAAAAGGGAAACAGCCCAGACCGCCAGUUAAGGUCCCAAAAUGUAUGCUAAGUGGAAAAGGAUGUGGGGAUGCACAGACAACUAGGAGGUUGGCUCAGAAGCAGCCACCCUUCAAAGAGUGCGUAACAGCUCACUAGUCGAGUGACCCUGCGCCGAAAAUGUACCGGGGCUAAGCAUACUACCGAAGCUGCGGAUUUGUAGAGAUACAAGUGGUAGGGGAGCGUUGCAUGCACGUGGAAGCCAUAUCGUGAGGAGUGGUGGAGAGCAUGGAAGUGAGAAUGCCGGUGUGAGUAGCGAGAUGUAGGUGAGAAUCCUACACACCGAUAGCCCAAGGAUUCCAGGGGAAGGUUCGUCCGCCCUGGGUAAGUCGGGACCUAACGCGAGGCCGAAAGGCGUAGUGGAUGGAAAACAGGCAGAUAUUCCUGUACCCGCGAUGGGAAGUGAAGGAAUGACGGAGAAGGCUAGCAUGACCCACUGAAUGGAUUGUGGGCGAAGCGGAGCAGCAGGUAUGUAGUGAAAUGCGCAUACGAAAUGCAGGACGUGAUAGGUAAGUGAACGUUUCGACAAGUAACGAAGCAUGUGAGGCCAGCUUCCAAGAAAAGUUUCUAAGCGAUUAAUCCCAUAGCGGCCCGUACCAAAACCGACACAGGUGGGCAAGGAGAGGAUCCUGAGGUGAGCGAGAGAACUGUUGCCAAGGAACUCGGCAAAAUGACUCCGUAAGUUAGCGAUAAGGAGUGCUUAUGUAAAAGUAAGCCGCAGUGAAGAGGCCCAAGCGACUGUUUAACUAAAACACAGCUCUCUGCAAAGUCGCAAGACGAAGUAUAGGGGGUGACGCCUGCCCGGUGCUGGAAGGUUAAGAGGAUUUGUCAGUCGCAAGAUGAAGCAAUGAAUUGAAGCCCCAGUGAACGGCGGCCGUAACUAUAACGGUCCUAAGGUAGCGAAAUUCCUUGUCAGGUAAGUUCUGACCCG
rnacentral:rRNA from 1 species